UACGAAGGGGGCUAGCGUUGCUCGGAAUCACUGGGCGUAAAGCGCACGUAGGCGGAUCUUUAAGUCAGGGGUGAAAUCCCAAGGCUCAACCUUGGAACUGCCUUUGAUACUGGGGAUCUCGAGUCCGGAAGAGGUUGGUGGAACUGCGAGUGUAGAGGUGAAAUUCGUAGAUAUUCGCAAGAACACCAGUGGCGAAGGCGGCCAACUGGUCCGGCACUGACGCUGAGGUGCGAAAGCGUGGGGAGCAAACAGG
rnacentral:rRNA from 1 species